GAUGAACGCUGGCGGCGUGCCUAAUACAUGCAAGUCGAGCGAACGGACGAGAAGCUUGCUUCUCUGAUGUUAGCGGCGGACGGGUGAGCAACACGUGGAUAACCUACCUAUAAGACUGGGAUAACUUCGGGAAACCGGAGCUAAUACCGGAUAAUAUUUUGAACCGCAUGGUUCAAAAGUGAAAGACGGUCUUGCUGUCACUUAUAGAUGGAUCCGCGCUGCAUUAGCUAGUUGGUAAGGUAACGGCUUACCAAGGCAACGAUGCAUAGCCGACCUGAGAGGGUGAUCGGCCACACUGGAACUGAGACACGGUCCAGACUCCUACGGGAGGCAGCAGUAGGGAAUCUUCCGCAAUAGGCGAAAGCCUGACGGAGCAACGCCGCGUGAGUGAUGAAGGUCUUCGGAUCGUAAAACUCUGUUAUUAGGGAAGAACAUAUGUGUAAGUAACUGUGCACAUCUUGACGGUACCUAAUCAGAAAGCCACGGCCAACUACGUGCCAGCAGCCGCGGUAAUACGUAGGUGGCAAGCGUUAUCCGGAAUUAUUGGGCGUAAAGCGCGCGUAGGCGGUUUUUUAAGUCUGAUGUGAAAGCCCACGGCUCAACCGUGGAGGGUCAUUGGAAACUGGAAAACUUGAGUGCAGAAGAGGAAAGUGGAAUUCCAUGUGUAGCGGUGAAAUGCGCAGAGAUAUGGAGGAACACCAGUGGCGAAGGCGACUUUCUGGUCUGUAACUGACGCUGAUGUGCGAAAGCGUGGGGAUCAAACAGGAUUAGAUACCCUGGUAGUCCACGCCGUAAACGAUGAGUGCUAAGUGUUAGGGGGUUUCCGCCCCUUAGUGCUGCAGCUAACGCAUUAAGCACUCCGCCUGGGGAGUACGACCGCAAGGUUGAAACUCAAAGGAAUUGACGGGGACCCGCACAAGCGGUGGAGCAUGUGGUUUAAUUCGAAGCAACGCGAAGAACCUUACCAAAUCUUGACAUCCUUUGACAACUCUAGAGAUAGAGCCUUCCCCUUCGGGGGACAAAGUGACAGGUGGUGCAUGGUUGUCGUCAGCUCGUGUCGUGAGAUGUUGGGUUAAGUCCCGCAACGAGCGCAACCCUUAAGCUUAGUUGCCAUCAUUAAGGUGGGCACUCUAAGUUGACUGCCGGUGACAAACCGGAGGAAGGUGGGGAUGACGUCAAAUCAUCAUGCCCCUUAUGAUUUGGGCUACACACGUGCUACAAUGGACAAUACAAAGGGCAGCGAAACCGCGAGGUCAAGCAAAUCCCAUAAAGUUGUUCUCAGUUCGGAUUGUAGUCUGCAACUCGACUACACGAAGCUGGAAUCGCUAGUAAUCGUAGAUCAGCAUGCUACGGUGAAUACGUUCCCGG
rnacentral:rRNA from 1 species